UACGUAGGGAGCAAGCGUUGUCCGGAAUCACUGGGCGUAAAGAGCACGUAGGCGGCCUGGUAAGUUAGGAGUGAAACCCGUCGGCUCAACCGACGGCCUGCUUCUAAAACUGCCGGGCUUGAGUGCAGAAGAGGAGAGUGGAAUUCCCAGUGUAGCGGUGAAAUGCGUAGAUAUUAGGAGGAACACCAGUGGCUAAGGCGACUCCCUGGACUGGCCCUGACGCUGAGGCGCGAAAGCGUGGGGAGCGAACAGG
rnacentral:rRNA from 1 species